rnacentral:sRNA from 1 species
CCGGGAGUUACUGAGUUAGGAUUAUCUCGACACGAGCCAGGUUGCCGAAAACGAACUAGAGUAUCAGUAUUAGUUAUAGGGGAGCACUCCGAGUCACUGUGACUGUGUGUGUGCCAUGACAUGAAACUCACGUGCUCCCUUUCUCUUUCUCUCUAAAUCUUCAAGUAAAGUCUAACGCAAACCCGAGCCUCGAAGCUCUCGUUUCCGAUCCAAUUCUUCGUUCCUCAAUGGAGGACGCGUUUGCCAGAUCUAUUCCCGAGGUCCUCGAUUUCUUCGGAGUGAACCCGACUAAGGGUUUAUCUGAUGCUGAGGUAGUACAACAUGCUAGACUUUAUGGGAAUAACGGUAU